CCUACGGGAGGCAGCAGUGAGGAAUCUUGGUCAAUGGCCGGAAGGCUGAACCAGCCAUGCCGCGUGAAGGUCAGUGCCCUAUGGGCGUUAAACUUCUUUUGUGCGGGAGCAAUAAUGGUCACGUUUGGCCAGACGAGUGUACCGUACGAAUAAGCAUCAGCUAACUCCGUGCCAGCAGCCGCGGUAAUGCGGGGGAUGGGAGCGUUAUCCGGAUUUGGUGGGUUUAAAGGGUGCGUAGGCUGUGAGGUAAGUCAGCGGUGAAAUGCCCCCGCUCAACGGGGUGAAGUGCCAUUGAUACUGACUGGCUGGAAUGCGGAUGACGAGGGAGGAAUGUGUGGUGUAGCGGUGAAAUGCAUAGAUAUAACACAGAACACCGAUUGCGAAGGCAUCUCACGAAUCCGCGAUUGACGCUGAUGCACGAAAGCGUGGGUAUCAAACAGGAUUAGAUACCCUUGUAGUC
rnacentral:rRNA from 1 species